GAUUUAUAAGGAAAGAAUCAGUUGACUGUUGGUCUUUUGUCUCUGGAUCUCUAGAGAGCAGGAGCUUGGAGUCCUCCUUCAAUGUCAACCCCACCACUCUGCCUUGGAAUCUUUGACCCAGAAUUUGGUGGAGGAGUGGGUGAUGAAGAGAAAGAAUUUGAAACUGCAAAUUUUAAAAAAAGGUGCCAUCUGAGAUAAAUAUUGGUAAGAUUUUAAAGACAGAAAUGAAAAGAGAUUCCAGUACAGGGAACAGGAGUACAGAGAGAAAUCAUGUGGUAACAUUUUUAAAGAAGAAAUGAAAAGAAUCAAAUCUAGUAAAUAGUCAAGUCAGAGAAAAAGGUCAAAUAAAUUUCAAAGAACAAUGUAAAUAAAGUUAGGCUGUUAGGUGUAGCCAUUCAGGAUAUUGUAUUUUCAUCCUGUAAGUGGAGAGAUGAGCAAUUCUGUGAACAUGGGAGAAUUUCUUCCCAAGAAUAAACUUAAGAAUCUUUAA